rnacentral:lncRNA from 1 species
GACGACGCUGAUGAUAAAUCAGGUUAGAUCUGGUUAGAAUCGGCUCCCGCCGCUUCAAUUCUGUUGGCGACGUGGUUUCACAGCGGUGAUGAAGAAAAGCAGAGAGUGAGAGAGAGAUGUAGCGGAAGAGAGAGAGAGAGCGGCGCCGCCGCUCACGGCGGCGGCUGUCGAGGCUCACGGCGGCGGUCUGUAAUCGACAAGGAUUCUGCUCCAGACGGGUUCAACAUCAGGUUCGAGUUGGUUUUGGUUUGGGUUUUCAAGGAGUUCGGGUUUUAGAUUCAGCCGGUUCGGGUUCGAGUAAAGAUGUUGCAGAUUCGGAUUAUGUUUGGUUAAGAUCUAGCUGGGUUUUGGUUUAAUUCGGGUCUUUCGUUUAGUCUCAGGUCAGAAGCGGGAUUCGGUUCAGUUUUGGUUUUCGGUCAAACGCGAUCAACAACGAGUCAACUCAGUUCGGUGCGGGUCAACCGAGUCAACUCGGUCAAACCCGGUCAACUCAGUUGACUCGGUCAGCACAGUCAAGACAGUCAAUGAAGACCUGGGAUGCUAUAGUUGUACGCUAGCUAGCUCACAUUCUUGGAAUGACACUACGGAAUCACACUAAGCUAGCUUUGCAC